GACAUCUCCCAUCAUCCAAGAGUUGCACUAGGGCAUCUGAAGGCUGGGAAGAACAUCAAGAGAUAGUGCAAGGCCCUUCCUGAGAGUGCUGAACCAGGUUCCCUGUGACUGGUAUCUGAGUAACUAAGAUGGGCAUCUAUACAGAGCAAGGACUAUUUGCUGAAUGAAUGGAUGAAUUUACCAUGUCAAUUGAAGGAUUAGAUCCAUCUACUCAUUGGAUUAUUUAAAGACAGCUAAAACCUACAGAGUCAAGAAUCUUCACCGAUUGCGGAUGAAUACAGGUGGAAGGAGUUGGUAUAUCUAGUUGUGGAUCAAUAUGCUAAACAAAAUCAAAUGCUAUUGGACAUUUUAGACCACAAUGACAGAGGAGAGGAAUCAGAAGUCUCAGUCCUGGAUGUAGCUGUGCAGAUUUCAGUGAACCGAACCACGUUGCCUUCUUGCUGACCAGCCUUUCUUAUGUAAAAUGGGAUCAUAAUGGCCGCCUGGAGCUUCAAAGGAGAUUACUAUUUAGAUGGAGAAGCACGAUGGUCAUGCCUGGU
rnacentral:lncRNA from 1 species